GUCUUCUUAUCUAGGGGUGGGCAAUAUAAACGAUAUAAGGUAGAAAUGAUAUAAAAUUGGGUAAUGAUAGUUUUUGGCUAUAUGGCAAUACGGCGAUAUUGUGAUAACACAUGACGUCACUAAGAUGUGCACCCUGAUGACAAUGGGACAACAGAAUGACGGUGACUGCAAGCAUGGAGUGUGCAGAGGAGGAGGCCUAUAUGCCUCAAGUGGCAUAUAUUUGCCACAUGAGGAUAUCUAAAAGCAUGUCAAUUUGACAUUUAUAAACAGAUGAAAAAAUAUAUCGCAAUAUAUAUCGUUACUGCACAUGCUUCAGAUUAUAUCGCAAUAUAGAUUGAGGCCAUAUUGCCCAGCCCUAUUCUUAUCUACACUCUUUUUUUAAACUCCAUAGUCUUAAAACAAUAUAUUAAUUCUACUUUUAUUUAUUGUUUUCAUAACAGAAUAGAACUGUUAUGAAAACUUUGUCAGGCUGACGAAGUUUGCAGCCGCAAACAAAACGUUGCAGGUAAAUAAAACCCUUCUAUGUUUUAAAAAGAACUAAAAGAUGGAAUUGUUGUUUUAUCCUUGUUCACAGGCUGGGAUCCUAAAGGGAAUUUCCAUCCUACUUGUGUGGCUGAAUGACAUCUUCAACCAAUUUUGGUACAUCUGCCAGAAAGCACAACAUCGUGAUACGUUUAAUGUAAGUAUUGUGACAUCUUUUGGACAACAAGACAACAAUGCACAUUGACAUAAUUACCUUUCUUUUCAUAAUAGUGCCAGCUCUCGUGUUUCUGUUGGUGAGCGCUUCUGUCACAUGUAAAGUUUUCAAAUAAAACUUAUUUUUUCUGUUAGGACAUGUGGGUGGGUGUGCUUCACCAUGUCACAGGGAAGCAUGAAUGGACCCGUGGCAAAUGUGACCAUGGACCACUUGAUGCAACGACCAGUGAUAAAGAGCUCAUGGUGCCAUGAUCUCCACCACACGAGGCUCUUCAACGAAUCAUGUUCAACAGACGCUGGUUGAAGGAUGUCACCAAUCUGACCUUUAGGCCCCAGCUACGUGAAGCAUCAAAAGACAGGAAUGACUUCUUUCAUGCACACAGAUUUAUUAGAAA